rnacentral:lncRNA from 1 species
AUUUGGUAGGCAGGGCUCCUCAUCACUCUUUAGCCCUACCAGCCCAGGGUUUGAUUUGCAGUGCUGGUAGCCACCCAAGCAACGCCUGUGUUGCCACUAAUCACUGUUUUUGGAACUGCUGUGGUUCAAAGGGAAUCUUUCAGCAUUCAGCUGACUUCCCCCAGACGCUGAGGUCCUGAUACGCAACGCUCCCUAUCUUUCUGCAGCAGAGGUGGAGACUGAGAGGUCUUCAGCCUUUAAUACCCCCAUCUCACAUCUGUCUUCUCCAGUAUUCCUUGCAGGUGUGCUGAAAAGACAUAUGAACCCUGGAAAUAAACUUUUAUUUUCCUUCUAUUUCUCCGAAGCUGCUCCUUACGUUAGAUCUGCCUACAUCAUACUCCUCCAUGACACUGCUUUGCCUCGGCUUCAGCAACAAACAGGACUCCUACCACUUUCCUGAUGGGCCCUAUCCCACCAUUUUCCCAAAUUCCCCCACAGAGUGACUAAGGAGUCACUGGACAGAACAUGGGAAUGGGUGAACCACAGCUGUAGCUGCAGGAAAGUGGUCUGGAAGCUGGUGAGGGACUGCCACCACCCACAAGGAACCCUCCUCUUCUGGUUGCCCAGAUACGUAGCACGUCUGUCAAGCAAGUUGGAGCAGAGCCCUGGCCACUCCAGUGUCCACCUCCUGACCACACAGUCUGGCACUGCUCAGCACCAAGGGCUGAUGUUCUUGGGAACACCACGUGGGUUGUGUCAACCCUCACAGCAUUACAGUCCUCAGAUCCCUGCAGGAGUGCAGAAUCCAGGGACAACCUCGUGUGCAGGAGACCCUGUCCACAGGGACAAAGAUGAGCAACAGAGAUAGCAAAGGUACUGUGAUGGCAAGAAACCGGCAUCUUUCUAAAACGCCAGCCUCAGGCACAAGGAGCUCAAGAGAGAAGUGAGCCAUCCCAGGCCUGUCCCAGGGAAGCAAGACUUCACAAUAUUUUUUAAUCAGGAUACACGAGUUCUGAGUCAGCUAAAAGCAACACUCAGAUCCAAUCUGUGAUGGUUUUAUUUGCAUAAGUCGUAAUGUAAACAGCAAAUAGAUCUGUAGGAUUUCAGUUGACUUGUCAAGGAAAAUAGAUCUUUGUUGAAGUAAGCAUUAAAGGAGAACCAAUAUGGAAAACACAUUGUACUGCUCAAAUGAUGGACAUUUUUGAUCCUCUGAGCAGUUUUCCUGUGUUUAACCGUAUUAGAGGAAUGCCUAGUUAUAACAAUUCUCUCUCUAUAAAAAGUUUUUUCUGAAUGAAACAAACAUACUUUGGUACACCACCUCCCUUGUCCCACUGAGGCUAAAUGCAUCACACACAGCAAAGGGAAUACACCUCCCUUGCAACACUUACAUAGAAGGUAAUAACAUGGAUUUCACGCCAGUACUCCAGGUAUGUGGGAAGAAAACUGUAACAGUACAUCUCCACUCUUGGCUCUUCCUACUCUGAGUUAUGAAACAGAAAAUGAUCAAUAAUUUAAAAACAAACAACAAAACCAAAACUCACUCAUCUCCAGAGGCUGAAAGAGCAGAAACUGGGAAAACAUUUCUGGCCCCCUGCUCCCCUUCUCCCAGGAUGCUGCAUCAUGCACUGGGUCCCUCGCUGAGUAGAGCCAAGGUACUCCUGUAGGAAGAAAUGCCACAGGAAAUGAGGUCAGCAUCCAUGCUACUUCCUAGAAGGAUCCCCGUGUGACUCCUACUACCAAUAUCCCACA